AGAGUUGAUCCUGGCUCAGGAUGAACGCUAGCUACAGGCUUAACACAUGCAAGUCGAGGGGCAGCAUGUUGGUUGUUGCAACCGAUGAUGGCGACCGGCGCACGGGUGAGUAACGCGUAUCCAACCUCCCUAUAGUAGAGGAUAGCCCGGCGAAAGUCGGAUUAAUACUCUAUGUUGUUCAAUGCAGACAUCUAAGUUGAAUCAAAGGUUCACCGCUAUAGGAUGGGGAUGCGUCUGAUUAGGUAGUCGGCGGGGUAACGGCCCACCGAGCCAUCGAUCAGUAGGGGUUCUGAGAGGAAGGUCCCCCACAUUGGAACUGAGACACGGUCCAAACUCCUACGGGAGGCAGCAGUGAGGAAUAUUGGUCAAUGGGCGAGAGCCUGAACCAGCCAAGUAGCCGUGCAGGAUGACGGCCCUAUGGGUUGUAAACUGCUUUUAUACAGGGAUAAAGUCGGGGACGUGUCCCCGUUUGUAGGUACUGUAUGAAUAAGGACCGGCUAAUUCCGUGCCAGCAGCUGC
rnacentral:rRNA from 1 species